AGAAAGAAAGAAAGAAAGAAAGAAAGAAAAGAGGGAAACAGAGAGAAAACUGGCUUCUACAGAUCACUUUAGAACCACUGAAUAACAUCACUAAACUUACAAAUACUAACUAAAUAUUGGCUUUGGACUACAAACUGCUCAGGACAAUUUCGAGGUGGCUAGCAGAGAUGAUUCAGCCUUACAGACAAUUCUAGUCAAAAUUUGAGAAAAUCCCUGUACUUUCCCAUUAUGUAGAGACUGGACUGGGCAACAAAUGAUACAGCUACUUCUCCAAGGACUUGAUAAUUAUCACAAAUUUUCUUUUCAGGAUCCCCUAAAGAUGCCAUCACUCCCAGACAGCAGGAAGUAAAUUUAAAAAUACGACAUCUACAUUCCCAAAAGAUAAUGCCUGGUGUGACAGUCAAUCUUGUUUUUACUACUUGACUGGAGCUGGAAUCAGCUAAAAGAGAAACUACUGAGCACUCUUGAAAAGGACUUUCUUGAUCAGAUUAUUUGAAUUUUGAAGGUUCACCUGAAAUAUGGUCACCACAAACACAUAUAAAAUGGAGGUAGAAAAGGAAAUUUUGCUUUUGCCUCUUUAUGUUUAUGCUUGUUGACAAGUUCAUGUAUUCUGUUCCUGCCACUACUACAUUUUCUCACUAGUAUAGAAACCAGCUUCCUCAAGAUUUCAGCAUAAACUGAAGACUCUAGGAAUCAUCUAAGCCUUCAGUGCCUGAUUGGGAUGGCUGAGGUAUCCAGCUUUGUGGAGUGAGGAACUACCAGAUUCUUGGUGUCUCUAAUAAGAGACAGACAUUUUUGAACUAUUCAAAUAAUGUCAUGCAAGCUAUUACAAAAAAUUACCAUUCAAUAAAUAUUCAUGCUAUUAGUUAA